UACGUAGGGACCAAGCGUUGUUCGGAUUUACUGGGCGUAAAGGGCUCGUAGGCGGCCAACUAAGUCAGACGUGAAAUCCCUCGGCUUAACCGGGGAACUGCGUCUGAUACUGGAUGGCUUGAAUCCGGGAGAGGGAUGCGGAAUUCCAGGUGUAGCGGUAGAAAUGCGUAGAUAUCUGGAGGAACACCGGUGGCGAAGGCGGCAUCCUGGACCGGCAUUGACGCUGAGGAGCGAAAGCCAGGGGAGCAAACGGGAUUAAGAUGA
rnacentral:rRNA from 1 species